CUCUUUGGUGAUUCAUGAUAACUUAACGGAUCGCAUGGCCUUGCGCCGGCGACGGUUCAUUCAAAUUUCUGCCCUAUCAACUUUCGAUGGUAAGGUAUUGGCUUACCAUGGUUUCAACGGGUAACGGGGAAUUAGGGUUCGAUUCCGGAGAGGGAGCCUGAGAAACGGCUACCACAUCCAAGGAAGGCAGCAGGCGCGCAAAUUACCCAAUCCCGACGCGGGGAGGUAGUGACAAUAAAUACUGAUACAGGGCUCUUUUGGGUCUUGUAAUCGGAAUGAGUACAAUUUAAACCCCUUAACGAGGAACAAUUGGAGGGCAAGUCUGGUGCCAGCAGCCGCGGUAAUUCCAGCUCCAAUAGCGUAUAUUAAAGUUGUUGCAGUUAAAAAGCUCGUAGUUGAACCUUGGGCCUGGCUGGCCGGUCCGCCUCACCGCGUGUACUGGUCCGGCCGGGCCUUUCCUUCUGGAGAGCCCCAUGUCCUUCACUGGGCGUGCGGGGGAACCAGGACUUUUACUUUGAAAAAAUUAGAGUGUUCAAAGCAGGCCUUUGCUCGAAUACGUUAGCAUGGAAUAAUAGAAUAGGACGUGCGGUCCUAUUUUGUUGGUUUCUAGGACCGCCGUAAUGAUUAAUAGGGAUAGUCGGGGGCAUCAGUAUUCAAUUGUCAGAGGUGAAAUUCUUGGAUUUAUUGAAGACUAACUACUGCGAAAGCAUUUGCCAAGGAUGUUUUCAUUAAUCAGUGAACGAAAGUUAGGGGAUCGAAGACGAUCAGAUACCGUCGUAGUCUUAACCGUAAACUAUGCCGACUAGGGAUCGGGCGAUGUUUCUAUCUUGACUCGCUCGGCACCUUACGAGAAAUCAAAGUUUUUGG
rnacentral:rRNA from 1 species